CACUUGAUAGCGGCCUAUUGGUGGAUCCAUUUAAUUCAAGAAAAUGGAGACCGAACAGCCAGAAGAAACCUUCCCCAACACCGAAACCAAUGGUGAAUUUGGUAAACGCCCUGCAGAAGAUAUGGAAGAGCCUUUAAAAGAUCUAGAAAUACUGAUGAGAUGGUUGAAUUGCGUAUUUUACUUAAGAGCAAGAAUGCUGGGGCAGUGGUUGGGAAAGGAGGCAAGAAUAUUAAGGCUCUCCGUACAGACUACAAUGCCAGUGUUUCAGUCCCAGACAGCAGUGGUCCCGAGUGCAUAUUGAGUAUCAGUGCUGAUAUUGAGAAAUUCUGAAGAAAAUCAUCCCUACCUUGGAAGAGGGCCUGUAGUUGCCAUUACCCACUGCAACCAGCCAGCUCCGGCUCGAAUCUGAUGCCGUGGAAUGCUUAAAUUACCAACAUUAUAAAGGAAGUGACUUUGACUGCAAGUUGAGACUGUUGAUUCAUCAGAGUCUGGCAGGAGGAAUUAUUGGUGUUAAAGGUGCUAAAAUCAAAGAACUUCGGGAAAACACUCAGACAACAAUCAAGCUUUUCCAAGAGUGCUGCCCUCAUUCUACUGACAGGGUUGUUCUUAUUGGAGGAAAACCUGAUAGAGUUGUAGAAUGCAUCAAGAUCAUCCUUGAUCUUAUAUCUGAGUCUCCCAUCAAAGGAUGUACACAACCUUAUGAUCCCAACUUUUAUGAUGAAAUCUAUGAUUAUGGUGGUUUUACAAUGAUGUUUGAUGACUGCCGAGGACGGCCUGUGGGAUUCCCCAUGAGGGGAAGAGGUGGUUUUGACAGAAUGCCUCCUGGUCAGGGUGAGCGUCCCAUGCCUCCUUCCAGAAGAGAUUAUGAUGAUAUGAGCCCCCGUCGAGGACCUCCUCCACCUCCUCCUGGUCGAGGUGGCAGGGGUGGCAGCAGAGCCCCGAAUCUUUCUCUUCCUCCUCCACCACCACCCAGAGCAGGAGAUCUAAUGGCUUAUGACAGAAGAGGAAGGCCUGGAGAUCACUAUGAUGGCAUGGUUGGGUUCAGUGCUGAUGAAACUUGGGACUCUGCAAUUGACACAUGGAGCCCAUCAGAGUGGCAAAUGGCUUAUGAACCACAGGGUGGUUGGGUAUGAUUAUUCUUAUGCAGGGGGUCGUGGCUCAUACGGUGAUCUUGGCGAACCUAUUAUCACUACACAAGUAACUAUUCCCAAAGAUUUGACUGGAUCUAUUACUGGCAAAGGAGGUCAGUGGAUUAAACAAAUUCAUCAUGAAUCUGGAGCAUCAAUCAAAAUUGAUGAACCUUUAGAAGGAUCUGAAGAUCAGAUCAUUACCAUUACAGGAACACAGGACCAGAUACAGAAUGCACAGUAUUCACUGCAGAACAGUGUGAAGCAGUAUUCUGGAAAGUUUUUCUAAGACUAGUGAAGAACUGAAGGAGUCCUGCAUCUUUUGUUUUUAUCUGCUUCUGUUUAAAAAGCCAACAUUCCUCUGCUUCAUAGGUGUUGUGCAUUUGAGGUGUAGUGAAAUCUUUGCUGUUCACCAGAUGUACUGUUUUAGUUCCUUACAAACAGAGUUGGGGGGAGGGCA